CAUAUACUCCCUCCGUCCGAAAAUACUUGUCAUCAAAAUGGACAAAAAGGGAUGUAUCUAUAACUAAAAUACAUCUAGAUACAUCUCUUUUUAUUCAAAUUGAUGACAAGUAUUUUCGGACGGAGGGAGUAUAUU
rnacentral:pre_miRNA from 1 species